UCCCUGAAAACCGGUCUCAGUUCGGAUCGCAGUCUGCAACUCGACUGCGUGAAGGUGGAGUCGCUAGUAAUCGCGGAUCAGCAACGCCGCGGUGAAUGCGUUCCCGGGCCUUGUACACACCGCCCGUCAAGUCAUGAAAGUGGGCAGCACCCGAAGACGGUGGCCUAACCCUUGUGGGGGGAGCCGUCUAAGGUGAGGCUCGUGAUUGGGACUAAGUCGUAACAAGGUAAC
rnacentral:rRNA from 1 species